UAGGAGUCAGCAUGUGGAGUGAGACAAGCCCUAGCCUUUCAUGCAUCUCGAAGAUUCUUGGUUUUUUAUUUUAGUUCUAUAAGAUUAGCACAGUUUUCUUUUCCUUAUAAAUAAAAUCUUGCCUAUUCAACUGUAUUUAGAGUCAAGAAGGAAAUGAAUAGUUUUUUCCAUGUAGAUUUGGAGGAGAGUGGUCCUUGCCUACUGGAGAUGCUGGGCUGAGUGAGGAAGUCCCAGGGUGAUCUGGUCACCCCGGGGCAUGUUCACCCAGGACAUUGUGAAAUCAUCAUUAGAGAUAACCCCAAGACGUUCAAAGAGUGGGAGGAGAGUCAGCUGGAGCCAGUGUCAGGCCUGGGGGCAGGAGCCGCCAUACAUUUGUCUGCCAGUCAACAGAGGCUAGGCUUUGCUGUGGUAACAAAUAAUCCUGACUAUCUGUGCCUUAAAGCUACAAAGGUGUUCAGAGUCCAAAUGAGUAGGACGAGGACGUUAAACCAAUUGACCUCACCCUUUAUUAAAGACAAGAAAAUGAAGGUGGCUCCACAUGCAUGGUCUGUCCUUUAGUGCACACAUGGUGAUCAGUGUCAUUCACAUGUGCCCGUCACGAAGUCCAACAACUUCCACAUAGCUAUGUUGUCUUGAGAACCCUGGCACCUGGUGGGGACACAUGGAGCCAGUCCUGCAAGUCUGCUCCUGGGCCUCUGUGCCGAUACCACAGUUAAAAUCCCCUGUAUACUUUGGCAGGUGUGAUUCGCACCUACCCUCCAAAGUUUCUAUGUGGAAACAAAUCAUUUAAAAAAUGUUGCUCAACUGACAUCAUUAAAUACAUAUUGUCUCUAUAACACAUCAAAAUUAGUGGUUUUUUUCCCCCCAAUAAUACUAUUAGUAAAGCUUGUCUUUAUUUUCUUUCAAAGUGAAAAAUACACUAGGCUCUUGGUUGUCUCUCAUUGUCUCCUUGAUUUAAAAAGCUCAAGAAUAAUCCAAGAUCUAAAUGCUGGUCAAGUAU
rnacentral:lncRNA from 1 species